GCACAAGCGGUGGAUCAUGUUGUUUAAUUCGAUGAUACGCGAAGAGCCUUACCAGGUCUUGACAUCCCCCGCGAUGCUUUAGAGAUAAAGCGGAGGUAUUCGGGGAGACAGGUGGUGCAUGGUUGUCGUCAGCUCGUGUCGUGAGAUGUUGGGUUAAGUCCCGCAACGAGCGCAACCCCUAUUGCUAGUUACCAUCAUUAAGUUGGGGACUCUAGCGAGACUGCCAGUGAUAAACUGGAGGAAGGUGGGGAUGACGUCAAAUCAUCAUGCCCCUUAUGACCUGGGCUACAAACGUGAUACAAUGGCUGGAACAAAGGGAUGCGAAGCAGUGAUGUGGAGCGAAACCCAUAAAAACAGUCUCAGUUCGGAUUGAAGUCUGCAACUCGACUUCAUGAAGUCGGAAUCGCUAGUAAUCGCGGAUCAGCCAUGGCGCGGUGAAUACGUUCCCGGGCCUU
rnacentral:rRNA from 1 species